rnacentral:rRNA from 1 species
UACGUAGGGUGCUAGCGUUGUCCGGAUUUAUUGGGCGUAAAGAGCGUGUAGGCGGCCACACAGGUCAGCUGUGAAAACUCGAGGCUCAACCUCGAGACGUCGGUUGAAACCGUAUGGCUAGAGUCCGGAAGAGGAGAGUGGAAUUCCCGGUGUAGCGGUGAAAUGCGCAGAUAUCGGGAAGAACACCCGUGGCGAAGGCGGCUCUCUGGGACGGUACUGACGCUGAGACGCGAAAGCGUGGGGAGCGAACAGG